UACGGGGGGAGCAAGCGUUGUUCGGAUUUACUGGGCGUAAAGGGCGCGUAGGCGGUCACUACAAGUCAGUUGUGAAAUCUCUGGGCUUAACUCAGAACGGUCAACUGAUACUGUCGGACUAGAGUGCAGAAGGGGCAACUGGAAUUCUCGGUGUAGCGGUGAAAUGCGUAGAUAUCGAGAGGAACACCUGCGGCGAAGGCGGGUUGCUGGGCUGACACUGACGCUGGAGGCGCGAAAGCCUAGGGGAGCGAACGGG
rnacentral:rRNA from 1 species